GAACUGGUAUUUGGACAGAAGAGAAACCAGCCCCACCUUGGUUUGCAUCAAUCCGAACCGCAUCCCUGGAACCAAUGUUUACAUGUUGUUGCAGAAAGGCUCUACAGAUUCUGCGAACAAAAUGAACGCAUGUGGGGAAUUACAGGAGAGCCUUCUUCAGCUGCAUUGUGGCCCGUUCAAGGCUGUGAGAUAAGAGAACCUAAGCUCUACCGAACCAACAAACCUCACCUCUUUAUAAAUCAAAUAACCCUGAGAUAAAAUUUAGUACAAGAGAGAAGAUAAAAAUUUAGUUAAACAAAAGGUAGGUGAGAAGGCAGUUACGAAGUGGCGCUCAUCAACGUUGGGUCAGUAGUGGAGACAUCGAGAAACGGUUACAAAUAAGUGGCGCCAAACGUAAGGGCUAUAAAGUGGUUUGCUUAUAGACAUCUGUUGUUAAUUACCUUCCGCCGUUUCUUCUUGUGUACUUGUGAUUGGCAUACUAUACUAUACUUUCAUCAGCUUACUCAAUGUUAUGUAGUAAAGAAUAAAUA